rnacentral:rRNA from 1 species
UGAUGCAGCGACGCCGCGUGAGUGAAGAAGUAUUUCGGUAUGUAAAGCUCUAUCAGCAGGGAAGAAAACAGACGGUACCUGACUAAGAAGCCCCGGCUAACUACGUGCCAGCAGCCGCGGUAAUACGUAGGGGGCAAGCGUUAUCCGGAAUUACUGGGUGUAAAGGGUGCGUAGGUGGCAUGGUAAGUCAGAAGUGAAAGCCCGGGGCUUAACCCCGGGACUGCUUUUGAAACUGUCAUGCUGGAGUGCAGGAGAGGUAAGCGGAAUUCCUAGUGUAGCGGUGAAAUGCGUAGAUAUUAGGAGGAACACCAGUGGCGAAGGCGGCUUACUGGACUGUCACUGACACUGAUGCACGAAAGCGUGGGGNGCNNACAGG